GGGGAUUGUCCCUGUAAUAAGUGCUCUGUAUAAUACAUUGGUACUCAGAAGGUUGCUGGUUUGAUCCCCACAGUCACCACCAUUGUGUCCUUGAGUAAGACACUUAACUCCAGGUUGCUCCGGGGGGAUUGUCCCUGUAAUAAGUGCUCUGUAUAAUACAUUGGUAAUCAGAAGGUUGCUGGUUUGAUCCCCACAGUCACCACCAUUGUGUCCUUGAGUAAGGCACUUAACUCCAGGUUGCUCCGGGGGGAUUGUCCCUGUAAUAAGUGCACUGUAUAAUACAUUGGUACUCAGAAGGUUGCUGGUUUGAUCCCCACAGUCACCACCAUUGUGUCCUUGAGUAAGACACUUAACUCCAGGUUGCUCCGGGGGGAUUGUCCCUGUAAUAAGUGCUCUGUAUAAUACAUUGGUACUCAGAAGGUUGCUGGUUUGAUCCCCACAGUCACCACCAUUGUGUCCUUGAGUAAGACACUUAACUCCAGGUUGCUCCGGGGGGAUUGUCCCUGUAAUAAGUGCUCUGUAUAAUACAUUGGUAAUCAGAAGGUUGCUGGUUUGAUCCCCACAGUCACCACCAUUGUGUCCUUGAGUAAGACACUUAACUCCAGGUUGCUCGGGGAUUGUCCCUGUAAUAAGUGCACUGUAACUCAAUUUGGAUAAAAGCAUCUGCCAAAUGCAUAAAUGUAAAUGUGAGUAGUGUGUGUGAGAGUGUUGUGUGAGUAGUGUUGUGUGUGAGAGUGUUGUGUGAGUGUUGUGUGAGUGUUGUGAGAGGGUUGUGAGAGGGUUGUGAGAGGGUUGUGAGAGAGUGUUGUGUGAGAGUGUUGUGUGUGUUGUCAGUGGUGUGUGUGUUGUGUGUGUCGUGAGUGUGUUAUGAGUGGUGUGUGUGUUGUUAGUGUUGUUAGUGUUGGUGGCGUGUGAGUGUUGUGUGUGUUGUGAGUGGUGUGUGUGUGUUGUGAGAGUGUUGUGAGUGUUGUGAG